rnacentral:rRNA from 1 species
UACGAAGGGGGCUAGCGUUGUUCGGAAUCACUGGGCGUAAAGGGCGCGUAGGCGGCUUGAUAAGUCGGGGGUGAAAGCCUGUGGCUCAACCACAGAAUUGCCUUCGAUACUGUCGAGCUUGAGACCGGAAGAGGUAAGUGGAACUGCGAGUGUAGAGGUGAAAUUCGUAGAUAUUCGCAAGAACACCAGUGGCGAAGGCGGCUUACUGGUCCGAUUCUGACGCUGAGGAGCGAAAGCGUGGGGAGCGAACAGG